rnacentral:rRNA from 1 species
AUUGAACGCUGGCGGCAGGCCUAACACAUGCAAGUCGAGCGGAUGAAGGGAGCUUGCUCCUGGAUUCAGCGGCGGACGGGUGAGUAAUGCCUAGGAAUCUGCCUGGUAGUUGGGGAUAACGUCCGGAAACGGGCGCUAAUACCGCAUACGUCCUGAGGGAGAAAGUGGGGGAUCUUCGGACCUCACGCUAUCAGAUGAGCCUAGGUCGGAUUAGCUAGUUGGUGGGGUAAAGGCCUACCAAGGCGACGAUCCGUAACUGGUCUGAGAGGAUGAUCAGUCACACUGGAACUGAGACACGGUCCAGACUCCUACGGGAGGCAGCAGUGGGGAAUAUUGGACAAUGGGCGAAAGCCUGAUCCAGCCAUGCCGCGUGUGUGAAGAAGGUCUUCGGAUUGUAAAGCACUUUAAGUUGGGAGGAAGGGAAGUAAGUUAAUACCUUGCUGUUUUGACGUUACCAACAGAAUAAGCACCGGCUAACUUCGUG